rnacentral:rRNA from 1 species
GACGAACGCUGGCGGCGUGCUUAACACAUGCAAGUCGAACGGAAAGGCCCUGCUUUUGUGGGGUGCUCGAGUGGCGAACGGGUGAGUAACACGUGAGUAACCUGCCCUUGACUUUGGGAUAACUUCAGGAAACUGGGGCUAAUACCGGAUAGGAGCUCCUGCUGCAUGGUGGGGGUUGGAAAGUUUCGGCGGUUGAGGAUGGACUCGCGGCUUAUCAACUUGUUGGUGGGGUAGUGGCUUACCAAGGCUUUGACGGGUAGCCGGCCUGAGAGGGUGACCGGCCACAUUGGGACUGAGAUACGGCCCAGACUCCUACGGGAGGCAGCAGUGGGGAAUAUUGCACAAUGGGCGGAAGCCUGAUGCAGCAACGCCGCGUGCGGGAUGACGGCCUUCGGGUUGUAAACCGCUUUCGCCUGUGACGAAGCGUGAGUGACGGUAAUGGGUAAAGAAGCACCGGCUAACUACGUG